rnacentral:rRNA from 1 species
UACGGGGGGGGCAAGCGUUGUUCGGAAUUACUGGGCGUAAAGGGCUCGUAGGCGGCCAACUAAGUCAGACGUGAAAUCCCCUCGGCUUAACCGGGGAACUGCGUCUGAUACUGGAUGGCUUGAGUUUGGGAGAGGGAUGCGGAAUUCCAGGUGUAGCGGUGAAAUGCGUAGAUAUCUGGAGGAACACCGGUGGCGAAGGCGGCAUCCUGGACCAACACUGACGCUGAGUGAGCGAAAGCCAGGGGAGCAAACGGG